AUGGACUCACCAGAUGACAGCACUCAAAGCUGCCAUAUUCUUCCCCUGUUCAGCAGUUCCAUGGGAAAGCUGCAGCAGCUUCUGGGCAAGGGAGAGUACCUGCUACUGAAGAAUAUACCCAUAUUUGAGAGUGACUUUAUCCAGAUCAACAGAAGAGGAGAAGUGAUUGAUGUGCACAACACUGUGCAGAUGGUGACGGUGGGCAUCGCAUAUACUAGCCACCACUUCACAAUGCCUGAUGCCAUGCUGCUGGCACAGCCAGCUGUGAGCUGUACAGUCAGUGCCAGAAAUGACCAAGAUACCCAGAGAAAGGACCUCAAGUCCACAAAGAGCUUGGAGCUGACCAGGCUGCUUCCUUUGAAGUUUCUCAAGUUAUCCAUCUAUAAUCAUGAAAAAAAACCAGUUCCACUUGAAGCUUGCCACUGGCCGCUCUUUUUACCUACAACUGUGCCUUCCUUCAGAUGUGAGACAAGAUCUGUUUGCAUGCUGGGAAGACUUAGUGUACCUGCUGAGACCGCCAGUGGAGGCGUACAGUAGGACCCAGGCCCAGCCUGCUGGUGACAUGAUCUCCAUACCUGGGUUGGAGGCAGAGGCCAGGAAGAGCCCAGCAGUAAGCCUUUGCAUAGGCUCUUGGAGAUGGGGCCAGGGUGAUUUGGAAGAGCAGCUAAGGCUUUUCCAGGCUGCUCUCUCAGGCUCACCAGGAGAAGACAUUGCAUUUGGAAGAACUCGGUCCAAAUAA